UACGAGGGGGGCGAGCGUUGUUCGGAAUUAUUGGGCGUAAAGGGUGCGUAGGCGGUUUUGUAAGUCUUAUGUGAAAUCUACAGGCUCAACUUGUAGUCUGCAUGAGAAACUGCAGGGCUUGAGUAUGGGAGAGGUGAGUGGAAUUCCUGGUGUAGCGGUGAAAUGCGUAGAUAUCAGGAGGAACACCUGUGGCGAAAGCGGCUCACUGGACCAUAACUGACGCUGAUGCACGAAAGCCAGGGGAGCAAACAGG
rnacentral:rRNA from 1 species